rnacentral:lncRNA from 1 species
UAUUAUAUUAUAUAUAUUAUGCAUGCAUGUGAUGAUGUCAGGUGUCUAGGGCAACCUAGGGUUUGCAUGUGCAUGUAGGGUUUCACACAAGACAUUACACUUGUGAAUGAUUUUUAUCUAAGUCAUUUAUACUGUGAACACACUGGAAGCAUACAUGGCGCAACAUUUGACCUGGAAGAAGUCCAAGGAGUGAUAACAGUGGGGAGUCUCCACUGUAGGGGCGCAAGUUUGUUUUUGCUUAAACAAAAACUAAGUGGCGUAGGAGAGAGAACAGGGAAGUACAUGCAUGGCUCUGUAUACCUCUGUUGAGCGCAAGUUUAGGUCAAGCGCAACCUUUGACCAAUUCUGGUCAAUUGUUGCGCCUCUGACCCUAACUAUACUUGGCGCAACUUUGUGUUUGUGAAGAAAUAUUCUAAGUCAUGGCAAUACAGGUACAACUGUGGCGCAAGUUGGUUAAAAUGUUAACCAGGAGAGAGAAGAGUGAGUAUUCUAGCGCCAACUCAUCUCAGGCGCAAGUUCAUGAUACACUUAGGUAUAUAUAUACAUAUAUAACUAAGUGGCGCCAUUUCCUUUAACUGAGGAGCCACUUGGAUAUACUUGUAUAUAUUUUCUAAGUCAAAUUUACUCUCCUUGGCAUGCAUGAAGUUACUGGAAGCGCAAGUUCUGUAGUGGCGCAAGUUUGGCUUGAUGAAGUUAACUAGGGUUAGUUAGUGACAAGCCUAUAAAUACCCAUGGAUUUUGUUAUCAUUUGUAACACUCUCCACCACCUUUAUGGUGGAAUGGCUUUGUGCCUUGCACACUACUACACACAAAUAAACUCUAGCUUAGUUUUGUAUUAUAUAUAUAUUUAGAAGCUAGGGUUUGUGAGUGUAAGUAGUAAUAGCCAUUGUAGCCAACCUUCGGGUUUGGAUUUAUAGCACCCUUCGAGGUAUUUAUCAAUAUACAGAUAUACCUUGGAAAAUAUUGUGUGUUGGUUUAAUAUUUUUAUAUCCUCAGAAACCGACUCAAUAAAUAUCCGGAACACGAAACCCAUUACAGGACUGCAAUUUGUUUAUCCGCAAGAUUCGAAAGAAUUUUAAAUUGUAGUGAGUAUCGUAUUCAACCCCCCCUUCUACGAUACUUUGGACC